rnacentral:pre_miRNA from 1 species
AACGAAGGUAUUGGCGCGUCUCAAUUUGAAGACACGGCUAUGUAGGCUUAGUCUUGUGUUUUGAUUGAGCCGCGUCAAUAUCUCCUUU